UUAAUUUAGGGUGAAACUCCACAAGGGUAUCCCACAAAUAAAGUGGAAUACCUAGCCAAUAACCUUUUCCUGGGAUAUGUGAACCUUUACGAAACUCAAAAAAAAAAAAAAUGUCAGAACACCAAAUCAGGGUGCAAUCGAAGAUUACACCGGAGAAAUAUCACAACAAUAAAUAGGAUAGGAUGAAUAAUGCAUGGCUAUGAUAAAACAUAAAAAAAAAAAAGAAU
rnacentral:lncRNA from 1 species